CAAAGGGCCUGGCACAGGGUAAAUGGCCAAAAAAUGUUUGUUGAUUAACCCAGAAAGAUCAGCUUUUGCCCUCGGGGUUAGCAUCAAACACCUAGGCCGCUGUUACUUCGAGCACAGACCAUAGCUCGCUCCUGGCCACCUCAUCUCCCGUUUCCUUUGACUCAGAUUGAGAAAGGUCUGUUUCACAUCUUCUUGGAACUCAAGAAUCUGCGCAUUUGAGACUUUCAGGAUUUGGUUUAUUAUCCGCAUGCACAUCCCCUGCUGCGGCAUCUGCUGACGGGCCUCUUAUUGGUGGUUAGUGCUAAGGCAGCCAUUGUUGUCUCUGACAGCCUUGACCCCAGCCACAUCGAGUGAUUCUGCCUCGAUGUGGAUCUUUAUCAGGCCCCAGGCCCCUGUGUGAGCACAUCUCUGAUGUCAAAGCUCUUAGAAAACAAGCCCGCGCACCUGCCACGUUUGUUCCUUCCACUCUCUGGAGGAAGGCAAGCUCCUUUAAAACUCUGACCAAAGGAAAACCGCUCACCAAACGACUACCCUUGGGCAAAUCCACAGGAACAGAUGGCAGGAGAUGCAGAUUCUUACAAGGUCCUCCCAUUAUCACUCAGGGGACGUUGGCUUUUCUUCAGCCUCAAAGACUGGUGAAACCUAUGGAACAUCUUGAAACAGGUGGCAAAAGAUGGCCUAUACCAAUAGGGGCCUGUCUUGGGGAAGUGAGCAGAUACUAGUCUGCCUUCCCCACCUGGUGCGAAGAUCGGAAGCUUGGCUUUCUGGGGGAACUGCUGGCAGAUUCCAAACUCCCACAGUGACGGCCUCUUUUGGGGGCAAAGAGACCAAAGCACGGGCUUGAGAGCCACACCCACCUAAGGCUCGAGCCUGAGGCAUGUCACUGCCAGGAAUGCAGAGUGCCAGGAAAAAGCCCUGGGUAUGUUUCCUCUGCUCCAGGGCCUGCUCUGUGGUGGGGGAGGGACAGGGGCUGUGAACACCGAUGGAGAUCAACCACCCAGAGGCUGACCACGCCUGACACCCACUGGUUUCUCCUGGCUGGUCCCACCGUAGUCCAAACAGCCGGUGCUCCCUGGGUGCCUUUAUGCCCCACCCUCUGGAGGCCUCUGAGAGGCUUUUAAGCCCUCUCUCCUCACUUUUUCCUUUCCUCCUCCCCUGUGCUCUUCGCUUGGUAGUGACCACCCAGGCACCAGGCUCUUGAUCAUUCUGGUCAGCUGCUGUUCCCUGAAGCAUGAGUCACUGCUCUGACAGGGGACAGAUACUCUUGCCAGGCGAGGGGGCUUGAAAGACUGGUCUCACCCAGCGCCCUGUUUUCCUACAGAAACCUUUCGUUCCAUAGGAAAUGAGGUCACACACCAGAGCACAUGGGUAACCGGUGAGAAAAUGCCGGUGCCAAGAAGGGGGCAGGUGUCAGAAGUGUGGAGGGAAAGGACCCUAACACACUGGAACCACCAGAGAACCACCUGCUGCUCUGAGGCAGCGCAGAGAGGAAGGGGUGCACCUAGCUUAAAAAAAUACCUGCUUUCUUUAAAGGACAUGCAACAUAAAUGAUUUUAACAAGUCAAACUUGUGGAAAGGUUGGCUAAUUUACUUUCAUGAUUUGGAGCCCCUAAUCCACUGCCUAAAGGAGAUCAACACACAAAACGGCCCCAAAGGGGAGCACCCCAAACCCAGGAAGCCUGUCCACACCCUCCUUUCCAUGGCCUCGCUGGGUGAAGAGAUGUUAUGGAAAAAUGUCUGCAUUCGGGUUGUUUGAUGAGAGGUCUCUGCCUGGCAGAGAAACUUUUUGGAAGAACUUGUCUGCUGCUAUCUUGGGUAGAGUUUCCAGAAGUCCCACUUCAGGGCCAAAUCUUACGAAGUCAACAACUAGAAAAUUUAAAGAGGACCACUCCCUUCUCUGCAUAUGACCGAGGAAGAGAAUCUGAAUGAAAGAAUGUUUGCACGCCUGAGGCAGGUUUGCCUCUAACAUUGGAAGGAGUUGGGACAAGAGCCAACAAACCAUGAAAUAAAAUAUAUGCUACCUUUCUAUCGUUAUGUACACCUUCAUAAAGAUCUGAAAGGUCACGUUCAAUGGAGACUUCUCUAACUCCCUGGAGUUCCUCAUCAGACAAUGUCAUUGUGGAGAAAGCAGAUUCCUGACCCACCCUGCAUUUUGAGAGGACUUGUACACAUGUGAAUAAACACCCCAGCCUCGAG